GGGUUGUGAGGUUAAGCGACUAAGCGUACACGGUGGAUGCCCUGGCAGUCAGAGGCGAUGAAGGACGUGCUAAUCUGCGAAAAGCGCCGGCGAGGUGAUAUGAACCCUUGACCCGGCGAUGUCCGAAUGGGGAAACCCAGUGCAAUCCGUUGCACUAUCGUUAACUGAAUACAUAGGUUAACGAGGCGAACCGGGGGAACUGAAACAUCUAAGUACCCCGAGGAAAAGAAAUCAACCGAGAUUCCCCCAGUAGCGGCGAGCGAACGGGGAGCAGCCCAGAGUCUGAAUCAGCUUGUGUGUUAGUGGAAGCGUCUGGAAAGUCGCACGGUACAGGGUGAAAGUCCCGUACACGAAAAUGCACAGGCUGUGAACUCGAAGAGUAGGGCGGGACACGUGGUAUCCUGUCUGAAUAUGGGGGGACCAUCCUCCAAGGCUAAAUACUCCUGACUGACCGAUAGUGAACCAGUACCGUGAGGGAAAGGCGAAAAGAACCCCGGCGAGGGGAGUGAAAAAGAACCUGAAACCGUGUACGUACAAGCAGUGGGAGCACCUUCGUGGUGUGACUGCGUACCUUUUGUAUAAUGGGUCAGCGACUUAUAUUCUGUAGCAAGGUUAACCGUAUAGGGGAGCCGAAGGGAAACCGAGUCUUAACUGGGCGUUAAGUUGCAGGGUAUAGACCCGAAACCCGGUGAUCUAGCCAUGGGCAGGUUGAAGGUUGGGUAACACUAACUGGAGGACCGAACCGACUAAUGUUGAAAAAUUAGCGGAUGACCUGUGGCUGGGGGUGAAAGGCCAAUCAAACCGGGAGAUAGCUGGUUCUCCCCGAAAGCUAUUUAGGUAGCGCCUCGUGAACUCAUCUUCGGGGGUAGAGCACUGUUUCGGCUAGGGGGCCAUCCCGGCUUACCAACCCGAUGCAAACUACGAAUACCGAAGAAUGUUAUCACGGGAGACACACGGCGGGUGCUAACGUCCGUCGUGAAGAGGGAAACAACCCAGACCGCCAGCUAAGGUCCCAAAGUCAUGGUUAAGUGGGAAACGAUGUGGGAAGGCCCAGACAGCCAGGAUGUUGGCUUAGAAGCAGCCAUCAUUUAAAGAAAGCGUAAUAGCUCACUGGUCGAGUCGGCCUGCGCGGAAGAUGUAACGGGGCUAAACCAUGCACCGAAGCUGCGGCAGCGACGCUUAUGCGUUGUUGGGUAGGGGAGCGUUCUGUAAGCCGUUGAAGGUGGCCUGUGAGGGUUGCUGGAGGUAUCAGAAGUGCGAAUGCUGACAUAAGUAACGAUAAAGCGGGUGAAAAGCCCGCUCGCCGGAAGACCAAGGGUUCCUGUCCAACGUUAAUCGGGGCAGGGUGAGUCGACCCCUAAGGCGAGGCCGAAAGGCGUAGUCGAUGGGAAACAGGUUAAUAUUCCUGUACUUGGUGUUACUGCGAAGGGGGGACGGAGAAGGCUAUGUUAGCCGGGCGACGGUUGUCCCGGUUUAAGCAUGUAGGCGGAGGUUCCAGGUAAAUCCGGUACCUUUUAACGCUGAGGUGUGAUGACGAGGCACUACGGUGCUGAAGUAACAAAUGCCCUGCUUCCAGGAAAAGCCUCUAAGCAUCAGGUAACACGAAAUCGUACCCCAAACCGACACAGGUGGUCAGGUAGAGAAUACCAAGGCGCUUGAGAGAACUCGGGUGAAGGAACUAGGCAAAAUGGUGCCGUAACUUCGGGAGAAGGCACGCUGAUAUGUAGGUGAAGCCCCUGCGGGUGGAGCUGAAAUCAGUCGAAGAUACCAGCUGGCUGCAACUGUUUAUUAAAAACACAGCACUGUGCAAACACGAAAGUGGACGUAUACGGUGUGACGCCUGCCCGGUGCCGGAAGGUUAAUUGAUGGGGUUAGCGGCAACGCGAAGCUCUUGAUCGAAGCCCCGGUAAACGGCGGCCGUAACUAUAACGGUCCUAAGGUAGCGAAAUUCCUUGUCGGGUAAGUUCCGACCUGCACGAAUGGCGUAAUGAUGGCCAGGCUGUCUCCACCCGAGACUCAGUGAAAUUGAACUCGCUGUGAAGAUGCAGUGUACCCGCGGCAAGACGGAAAGACCCCGUGAACCUUUACUAUAGCUUGACACUGAACACUGGUCCUUGAUGUGUAGGAUAGGUGGGAGGCUUUGAAGCGUGGACGCCAGUCUGCGUGGAGCCGUCCUUGAAAUACCACCCUUUAAUGGCUGGUGUUCUAACGUAGACCCGUAAUCCGGGUUGCGGACAGUGUCUGGUGGGUAGUUUGACUGGGGCGGUCUCCUCCCAAAGAGUAACGGAGGAGCACGAAGGUUAGCUAAUCCUGGUCGGACAUCAGGAGGUUAGUGCAAUGGCAUAAGCUAGCUUGACUGCGAGAGUGACGGCUCGAGCAGGUGCGAAAGCAGGUCAUAGUGAUCCGGUGGUUCUGAAUGGAAGGGCCAUCGCUCAACGGAUAAAAGGUACUCCGGGGAUAACAGGCUGAUACCGCCCAAGAGUUCAUAUCGACGGCGGUGUUUGGCACCUCGAUGUCGGCUCAUCACAUCCUGGGGCUGAAGUAGGUCCCAAGGGUAUGGCUGUUCGCCAUUUAAAGUGGUACGCGAGCUGGGUUUAGAACGUCGUGAGACAGUUCGGUCCCUAUCUGCCGUGGGCGCUGGAGAAUUGAGGGGGGCUGCUCCUAGUACGAGAGGACCGGAGUGGACGCAUCACUGGUGUUCGGGUUGUCAUGCCAAUGGCACUGCCCGGUAGCUAAAUGCGGAAGAGAUAAGUGCUGAAAGCAUCUAAGCACGAAACUUGCCCCGAGAUGAGUUCUCCCUGAGACUUAAAGUCUCCUGAAGGAACGUUGAAGACGACGACGUUGAUAGGUCGGGUGUGUAAGCGCAGCGAUGCGUUGAGCUAACCGAUACUAAUGAACCGUGAGGCUUAACCUUACAACGCCGAAGGUGUUU
rnacentral:rRNA from 1 species